AUGAGAGUCUAUCAUGAAAGUUUCUCAUCUAAUAUCUAUAAAGAAAGGUGGACUCUAGUCAAUUUAAAAUUCCUGGAUGCAAAAGUUAACCAUGUUGGGCAGCAAGGUGACAGAUCCUAGAGACUGAAAGUCUCAGUAUAACCCAGGAAUAAUUGCAACGAUCAGCAGUAAUGCAAGACUAAUCAUUGGUAGAAGAAAGAUUGUAAUUUUUUGCCCCAAUACACCUUAGUCAUCAUGGUCAUCUUGCAAAAUUAUCCAGCUAGAGGGCAAACUUACAUCUACUAUCACAGGGAUCAAAACUAUCUUUGGUUUUGUCAACUGGUCCAAAAUCUCAGUCAGCUACAAAGCUUAGACUUGAGUGAGGUCUCAGCCUUCCAACCCCUACUGAUCUCACUUUGCUACUACAGUUUGAAUUGGAAUGAAUUGGAAUGAUUUUCUCUGACAGCUGACAAGAAGUUUCCUCACUGAUAUCCUAGUACCCCCAUCCAAUCUCCUAGAACAAUGGGGUCAAAAUGUCCUCAGUAGAUCAAGAACUUUUCUGUCUGAACCCUGAAGGCUGUUAGUGGAGUCCCACAAGGCUCCCUUCCUCUAGUUCCACAGUUGUUCAGCACCUCUUCAAAAGCAGCUGAGCCAACCUGGCCUGAAGUGCCAGCCAUUUGCAGACAAUAGGAUCCCCUACUCCACAUUAACUAUGAGCAGUACAGCAUCUAAGCUUUCUCAAUGCUUCACUGAAAGCAUCUAGACAAAACAGCUGAGGCAGCUGGAUCCAAAUAAGAGAGCUGGCAGAAGAUGGAAACACUUUAAAAAGCCAGUCUCCACUAUAGCCUCGCCACUACCUGGGGCAUCUGUCCUGGGUUCCUGAGGUCAAAGCAGGCGUUUCAACUCAAUCUGGCUUUGUAGGCCAGAUCAGACUACAAUGCUUCUCACAGCCUGGAUGACCAACACCCACUGACCAAUUUUAGUCACCGAUGGGCACUAAAGACCCUAAAUUCUGCAGCAGGAAAGAAGUUAGGUGCAAUGAGCAGUGGGGCUUCACCCCUGCAUCCCAGAGCUGCACCAACACAGCAGUUCCAGCAACUUUCCCAACAAGCCCUGCAGGCUACCAAUAGGAUAGCCCUGGGUCAGAUCAUAGUUUGGGGUUAUUACUUAUUCCUACUAUUAAACCCCUCUGAGUAGAGAGGGAACCAAUCAAUCCCACCAUUAGACAGCAACGGAAACCCCCAGUCUCACACAAAUCAACCUGUACAUAAACUACUUGGCAUUGCCCUUUCUUAUCUGUUGCUUUCUAGGCUGCUUAUCCAGUUGGCUUGUUCGA